AGGAAAUGCAAGAGACACAGUGAUCUCUGAGUCGAGAAGAUAUCCUAGAGUAGGAAAUGGCAACCCACUCCAGUAUUCUUGCCUGGGAAAUUCCAAGGACAGAGGAGCCUGGUGGGCUACAGCCCAUGGGGUCUCAAAGAUUCAGACAUGACUGA